rnacentral:rRNA from 1 species
GAUGAACACUGGCGGCGUGCUUAACACAUGCAAGUCGAACGGAAAGGCCCAAGCUUGCUUGGGUACUCGAGUGGCGAACGGGUGAGUAACACGUGGGUGAUCUGCCCUGCACUUCGGGAUAAGCCUGGGAAACUGGGUCUAAUACCGGAUAUGACCACAUUUUGGAUGGUGUGGUGGAAAGUUUUUCGGUGUUGGAUGAGCUCGCGGCCUAUCAGCUUGUUGGUGGGGUAAUGGCCUACCAAGGCGUCGACGGGUAGCCGGCCUGAGAGGGUGUACGGCCACAUUGGGACUGAGAUACGGACCAGACUCCUACGGGAGGCAGCAGUGGGGAAUAUUGCACAAUGGGCGCAAGCCUGAUGCAGCGACGCCGCGUGGGGGAUGACGGCCUUCGGGUUGUAAACUCCUUUCGCUAGGGACGAAGCGAAAGUGACGGUACCUGGAGAAGAAGCACCGGCUAACUACGUG